AGGGAAAUUGCCAUAGGACAGGUUUGGG
rnacentral:piRNA from 1 species